GUGUAGCUUAGAGGUAGAGCACUUGCCUACAAUUCAAAGAAGCCCUGGGUUCAAUCCCCAGAACCACA
rnacentral:tRNA from 1 species